GGAGCACAGGAGAGCUUGCUCUCUGGGUGGCGAGUGGCGGACGGGUGAGGAAUACAUCGGAAUCUACUCUGUCGUGGGGGAUAACGUAGGGAAACUUACGCUAAUACCGCAUACGACCUACGGGUGAAAGCAGGGGACCUUCGGGCCUUGCGCGAUUGAAUGAGCCGAUGUCGGAUUAGCUAGUUGGCGGGGUAAAGGCCCACCAAGGCGACGAUCCGUAGCUGGUCUGAGAGGAUGAUCAGCCACACUGGAACUGACACACGGUCCAGACUCCUACGGGAGGCAGCAGUGGGGAAUAUUGGACAAUGGGCGCAAGCCUGAUCCAGCCAUACCGCGUGGGUGAAGAAGGCCUUCGGGUUGUAAAGCCCUUUUGUUGGGAAAGAAAUCCAGCUGGCUAAUACCCGGUUGGGAUGACGGUACCCAAAGAAUAAGCACCGGCUAACUUCGUGCCAGCAGCCGCGGUAAUACGAAGGGUGCAAGCGUUACUCGGAAUUACUGGGCGUAAAGCGUGCGUAGGUGGUCGUUUAAGUCCGUUGUGAAAGCCCUGGGCUCAACCUGGGAACUGCAGUGGAUA
rnacentral:rRNA from 1 species